ensembl:lncRNA
AGGAAGUGCCACUUGGAUUGACUUCAAGGCAAAACAGUCUGGCAACAGUUACUAGAAGUGGCAUUGACAGCUUUUCUGUUUCAGGAUAAUAUUUACUGGCCAGCUACUAUACAACCUAGAGGGCUCUUGAUUUCUUGAUCACUCAGAAGGCUAGAAUUACCUCUAUAGGUGGAGAAGCAGGUUGUAUUUGUUCAUUCUCAAUACACUCUAUUACACAAGUGAUACUUCCUGUUGCAAGGAAGCAGCAAAUCCGUUCCACUUUGGAGAUAAUGAUACUGACCAGGCUAUUGUUGGUGGGUACUGUGAUUUUGUGAAAGCCUAGAUAGCAAGUGGAUAUAGCAGUUUGUUAUGUCUGCUAAGUAUUGCAAUAAGGUCCUGGCCCAAGCUUGUCCACUUGUGUACCGAAAUUAUGACAGAUUCAAGGAGCACAGUAACAUUAUUUGAUAAGUUCUCAGCUACAAAACAGGAUGUUCCAACAUAGUCACCAUUAUCAGCUAUGCAUUUUCACCAGUGAUGAACAAGACUCUGCAUGCUGCACUCAUAAAAAUCUGCAGCAGUGGAUGUGACAUGCUUCAGACAUGCUUAAAGAGAUGCCAGUAAAUGCCAGCAUGUUGAAAUCAAUAGUGGGAUAUGGAGAUUUUCCAGCGUGCCACACCUGGCCCAGACAGAGCGGGGAGUGGUGCCUUUGUUGCCAUGUGCAAGCACUGACCACCUUUUGCAGUGGUCAGCUUCUUCAAGCUGCGCCCCUGAAAAAGUGUGCUUGUCCUGCUUCUUCUUAUCUUUACAAUCAUAAGCACAUGGUGCUGGGCGCAUGGGGGAUCGUUCCACCAACAUGCACACUGAGAGAAGCAGAGACUACGUGUAAAAAGUUUUCAUUGAAACAAAUAGAAGACAUUAUUUUCAGAUGACCUAUGUUUAAUUUUCUGCUGGCACUCUAAUACAGACUUCUCCAUAACAACUUAAUCCUUCUUACUUUGGAAACUGAUAAGCAGAUAUGAGGAACAGAAAUAAUUGCAGUUCUGAUCUUGAAUAGAACCAAAAAUCAUUGUGCAAAUGUUCAUGAAGUUCCCACAUUCAGCCUCACCAGCUUCUGAAGACUGGGGAAGAUUGUAGGCUUUCUUUAUUGGAUGGAACUUCCUCAUCACAUAUUCAGAAGUUUGUCUGUGUUAAUAUGCAUGGUAUUUUUUUUAACUUCCAACAGCCCAAAUCUCUUUUGUUGACAACCUAUUUAGUGCUUUUUUUUUUUUUUUUUUUAACUUGCAUUUGUUCAAGUGCUUUGGAUAGGAUUAUUGAAUAAGCCUUAGAAUAAGUCAUAAUGUGUUUAGUGAUGGAAAACCAGGUACAGUGUCAUUUCCUUUGUUCAUAAUGAUGCCUGCAUUUUCAUUACAGAAAUACUCAUUGUCUUUAUCUCUUUCAGCUGUGUUAACUAUUAAAACAGUUUCUUUGAUCUACAUUAUUUUGUCUCUUGUACAUUUAUAGAUCCUUUGCCAUGACAAACAAUUUCUUGACAGUGACAAGGAACUUUGCUUAUGUCUAAUAGGAUGUUCUAUACACAGGCUAGAUGGUAUGCCUCAUACGUUGUGUAUUGACUUGUUUUAAAAACAAGUAAAUGAGAUUUGACAAAGAAUGUGAGAAAAUGUACUUUGGAAGAAUGAAAGAAAUGAAGUUAGCAUCGUGUCUUCAUAAAUCUUAGACUCUCUGUAUUCAAAUGCAAUCACUUGCCCCAGUAAAGGAAAUGUAUUAUUCAUGGCCUCAUACAUCUUGUAAAAUGAUGUGAUUGGUUUUUUCUACAUUCUCUGAUAAGAUCUUAUGCAGAAGUACGAAUAAAUAAAAUAAUGGUGCAUAAAAGGUUUAAGUAGUCACAGCUAAUUUUAUCA